rnacentral:tRNA from 1 species
GGUGGAUGUAGCUCAGUUUGGUUAGAGCGCUGGAUUGUGGUUCCAGAGGUCGCCGGUUCAAGCCCGGUCUUCCACCC